UAUGAAGGGGGCUAGCGUUGCUCGGAAUCACUGGGCGUAAAGGGUGCGUAGGCGGGUCUUUAAGUCAGGGGUGAAAUCCUGGAGCUCAACUCCAGAACUGCCUUUGAUACUGAGGAUCUUGAGUUCGGGAGAGGUGAGUGGAACUGCGAGUGUAGAGGUGAAAUUCGUAGAUAUUGGGAGGAACACCAGUGGCGAAGGCGGCUCACUGGACCGGUUCUGACGCUGAGGCGCGAAAGCGUGGGGAGCAAACGGG
rnacentral:rRNA from 1 species